UUGACAAUGGCAUGGGGUUUCUUCCUCCUCAUUUGGAUGCCUGCAUGCUUGGAAUGCUAUUUCUUAGACUGUCAAGCAAACAUUGUCAUCAUUUGCAAAAUGACAAAAUUAUAGGGAUGUCUCCUCUGACUGCUUUGAUGGACUGACUUCCAGCUCUCCAGCCCCUCAGAAGGCUUUUCCCAGCUCACCACACAGGCUGACUACCCUCUGAAUGUAGAACCCCAAAAUCAAAUAUCCAGACCCAGUAAGCACUGGAAUCCUUGGAACUGGAAGAUAAAAUGAAGUGCAAGAUCAACGGAAGGAUAAGCCUCCCCAAAACUAGACUGUCCCCGUCUUUCCCAAUCUCCCGAAAAGUUACUGGAGUUGAAAAGCCAAGAAGCCCCAGAUUGCUUCGAUGAACAUUUUCAUCCCCACCACUUUACAGAUGGAUAAUUUGGCUGUGGGACAGUGAGAGCUGUACCUCAUCUCUAUAGACAAGAGCAGAAGUUCACGGAGAACAGCCUCCAAAGCGGGGUGAACAUUAAGGGAAAGGCUAAAGCCUCAACUCACUCCAUCCAAAACACCUCUCUGCCCUCAGUGUAACCUGACCACAGCUACACAUGCAGAGAAGCACAGAAUGGGUGCUCUCAGCUAGAAACUGUGCUGAAAUAAUUAUGCUUUGCCCUUGAUGAAAUUACUUAAACUACUUUCUGCUUCACAACAUCAUAUGCAGAAAACAUUUUUCAUGCCUGGGCCAUGGCCUGAGGCAGUUUUUGCAUUCUGCAUCGGGAGGAAAUUGAUUAAUGUGAAUGUUUUAGCUGUGGUUGUUGUUUGUGUAUAAACUUUUGUUAAAACAAGUACGGCAGAAUAA